GACGAGGAGCCUGCUCCUCUGACGUUAGCGGCGGACGGGUGAGUAACACGUGGAUAACCUACCUAUAAGACUGGGAUAACUUCGGGAAACCGGAGCUAAUACCGGAUAAUAUAUUGAACCGCAUGGUUCAAUAGUGAAAGACGGUUUUGCUGUCACUUAUAGAUGGAUCCGCGCCGCAUUAGCUAGUUGGUAAGGUAACGGCUUACCAAGGCAACGAUGCGUAGCCGACCUGAGAGGGUGAUCGGCCACACUGGAACUGAGACACGGUCCAGACUCCUACGGGAGGCAGCAGUAGGGAAUCUUCCGCAAUGGGCGAAAGCCUGACGGAGCAACGCCGCGUGAGUGAUGAAGGUCUUCGGAUCGUAAAACUCUGUUAUUAGGGAAGAACAAAUGUGUAAGUAACUAUGCACGUCUUGACGGUACCUAAUCAGAAAGCCACGGCUAACUACGUGCCAGCAGCCGCGGUAAUACGUAGGUGGCAAGCGUUAUCCGGAAUUAUUGGGCGUAAAGCGCGCGUAGGCGGUUUUUCAAGUCUGAUGUGAAAGCCCACGGCUCAACCGUGGAGGGUCAUUGGAAACUGGAAAACUUGAGUGCAGAAGAGGAAAGUGGAAUUCCAUGUGUAGCGGUGAAAUGCGCAGAGAUAUGGAGGAACACCAGUGGCGAAGGCGGCUUUC
rnacentral:rRNA from 1 species